rnacentral:rRNA from 1 species
AGAGCGAACGCUGGCGGCAGGCUUAACACAUGCAAGUCGAGCGGGCGUAGCAAUACGUCAGCGGCAGACGGGUGAGUAACGCGUGGGAACAUACCUUUUGGUUCGGAACAACACAGGGAAACUUGUGCUAAUACCGGAUACGCCCUUACGGGGAAAGAUUUAUCGCCGAAAGAUUGGCCCGCGUCUGAUUAGCUAGUUGGUGAGGUAAUGGCUCACCAAGGCGACGAUCAGUAGCUGGUCUGAGAGGAUGAUCAGCCACAUUGGGACUGAGACACGGCCCAAACUCCUACGGGAGGCAGCAGUGGGGAAUAUUGGACAAUGGGCGCAAGCCUGAUCCAGCCAUGCCGCGUGAGUGAUGAAGGCCCUAGGGUUGUAAAGCUCUUUGUGCGGGAAGAUAAUGACGGUACCGCAAGAAUAACGCCCGGCUAACUUCGCGCCAGCAGCCGC